CUCGUAGGCGGUUCGGUAAGUCGGGUGUGAAAACUUUGGGCUCAACCCAAAGCCUGCACCCGAUACUGCUGUGACUUGAGUCCGGUAGGGGAGUGGGGAAUUCCUGGUGUAGCGGUGGAAUGCGCAGAUAUCAGGAGGAACACCGGUGGCGAAGGCGCCACUCUGGGCCGGUACUGACGCUGAGGAGUGAAAGCGUGGGGAGCGAACA
rnacentral:rRNA from 1 species